rnacentral:rRNA from 1 species
GAUGAACGCUAGCUACAGGCUUAACACAUGCAAGUCGAGGGGAAACGAUAGAGAAAGCUUGCUUUUUCUAGGCGUCGACCGGCGCACGGGUGAGUAACGCGUAUCCAACCUGCCCACCACUUGGGGAUAACCUUGCGAAAGUAAGACUAAUACCCAAUGACGUCUCUAGAAGACAUCUGAAAGGGAUUAAAGAUUUAUCGGUGAUGGAUGGGGAUGCGUCUGAUUAGCUUGUUGGCGGGGUAACGGCCCACCAAGGCAACGAUCAGUAGGGGUUCUGAGAGGAAGGUCCCCCACAUUGGAACUGAGACACGGUCCAAACUCCUACGGGAGGCAGCAGUGAGGAAUAUUGGUCAAUGGGCGAGAGCCUGAACCAGCCAAGUAGCGUGCAGGAUGACGGCCCUAUGGGUUGUAAACUGCUUUUAUAAGGGAAUAAAGUGAGCCUCGUGAGGCUUUUUGCAUGUACCUUAUGAAUAAGGACCGGCGUAAUUCCGUG